AGGAUUAACGCUGGCGGCGUGCCUAACACAUGCAAGUCGAACGAGGUAGCAAUACCUAGUGGCAGACGGGUGAGUAACGCGUGGUCAACCUACCCUAGAGUGGGGAUAACUAGCCGAAAGGUUAGCUAAAUACCGCAUAACACUUACGAGUCAAAGCAGCAAUGCGCUUGGAGAGGAGUUCGCGGCAGAUUAGUUAGUUGGCGGGGUAAUGGCCCACCAAGACGAUGAUCUGUA
rnacentral:rRNA from 1 species